GGCCUGGUGGCGUAAUGGCAACGCGUUGGUACGUUCAAUUGCUAUAUAUCAAAUGAUACUCCAUGGGUAAAAGUCUUACACGUUCUAGCUUUCCGGUGGCAAAGAUUACAGGUUCGAGUCCUGUCCUGGUCG